CGACAAGUAUUGCAGAUGGAAGGUUUAUAAUAUUUUUUGUUGGCAGUUACUUCGGACCUAAUUGCUUUUUCUUUGUUUCUUGUUGCCUUUGUAUAUGUCCAGUACUACAUUUCUGUAGUAUUUUUAUGGUGAAUGGGACCGAGAGCAAAUUAAUUCUUUCAUUUGCUUUUUUAUCGAUGAUUUAUACCUCUUCUGUCUCAAGAUAUUGUCUCAUUGGG
rnacentral:misc_RNA from 1 species